UUGAACGCUGGCGGCAGGCCUCACACAUGCAAGUCGAGCGGAUGAAGGGAGCUUGCUCCUGGAUUCAGCGGCGGACGGGUGAGUAAUGCCUAGGAAUCUGCCUGGUAGUGGGGGAUAACGUCCGGAAACGGGCGCUAAUACCGCAUACGUCCUGAGGGAGAAAGUGGGGGAUCUUCGGACCUCACGCUAUCAGAUGAGCCUAGGUCGGAUUAGCUAGUUGGUGGGGUAAAGGCCUACCAAGGCGACGAUCCGUAACUGGUCUGAGAGGAUGAUCAGUCACACUGGAACUGAGACACGGUCCAGACUCCUACGGGAGGCAGCAGUGGGGAAUAUUGGACAAUGGGUGAAAGCCUGAUCCAGCCAUGCCGCGUGUGUGAAGAAGGUCUUCGGAUUGUAAAGCACUUUAAGUUGGGAGGAAGGGCAGUAAGUUAAUACCUUGCUGUUUUGACGUUACCAACAGAAUAAGCACCGGCUAACUUCGUG
rnacentral:rRNA from 1 species